rnacentral:tRNA from 1 species
GCUUGCAAAGCUAAAUUAUAGCGUUGGUCUUGUAAACCAAAGGUUGAGAGUCUUCUCUGCAAGCU